CCUACGGGGGGCAGCAGUCGAGAAUCAUUCACAAUGGGGGAAACCCUGAUGGUGCGACGCCGCGUGGGGGAAUGAAGGUCUUCGGAUUGUAAACCCCUGUCAUGUGGGAGCAAAUUAAAAAGAUAGUACCACAAGAGGAAGAGACGGCUAACUCUGUGCCAGCAGCCGCGGUAAUACAGAGGUCUCAAGCGUUGUUCGGAAUCACUGGGCGUAAGGCGUGCGUAGGCUGUUUCGUAAGUCGUGUGUGAAAGGCGCGGGCUCAACCCACGGACGGCACAUGAUACUGCGAGACUAGAGUAAUGGAGGGGGAACCGGAAUUCUCGGUGUAGCAGUGAAAUGCGUAGAUAUCGAGAGGAACACUCGUGGCGAAGGCGGGUUCCUGGACAUUAACUGACGCUGAGGCACGAAGGCCAGGGGAGCGAAAGGGAUUAGAUACCCUUGUAGUC
rnacentral:rRNA from 1 species